AGAAUCAACGCUGGCGGCGUGCCUAACACAUGCAAGUCGAACGAGAAAGUGGAGCAAUCCAUGAGUAAAGUGGCGACCGGGUGAGUAACACGUGACUAACCUACCCUACAGUGGGGGAUAACUCCGGGAAACCGGGGCUAAUACCGCAUAACAUCGUAAGAUCAAAGGAGCAAUUCGCUGAAGGAGGGGUCGCGGCUGAUUAGUUAGUUGGUGAGGUAACGGCUCACCAAGACGAAGAUCAGUAGCCGGCCUGAGAGGGCGCACGGCCACACUGGAACUGAAACACGGUCCAGACUCCUACGGGAGGCAGCAGUGGGAAUUUUGCGCAAUGGGGGAAACCCUGACGCAGCAACGCCGCGUGGAGGAUGAAGUCCUUGGGAUGUAAACUCCUUUCGAUCGGGACGAUUAUGACGGUACCGGAAGAAGAAGCACCGGCUAACUCUGCGCCAGCAGCCGC
rnacentral:rRNA from 1 species